GACGAACGCUGGCGGCGUGCUUAACACAUGCAAGUCGAACGCUGAAGCUUGGUGCUUGCCCUGGGUGGAUGAGUGGCGAACGGGUGAGUAAUACGUGAGUAACCUGCCCUUGACUCUGGGAUAAGCCUGGGAAACUGGGUCUAAUACUGGAUACGACAUGCCACUGCAUGGUGGUGUGUGGAAAGGGUUUUACUGGUUUUGGAUGGGCUCACGGCCUAUCAGCUUGUUGGUGGGGUAAUGGCCUACCAAGGCGACGACGGGUAGCUGGCCUGAGAGGGUGACCGGCCACACUGGGACUGAGACACGGCCCAGACUCCUACGGGAGGCAGCAGUGGGGAAUAUUGCACAAUGGGCGGAAGCCUGAUGCAGCGACGCCGCGUGAGGGAUGACGGCCUUCGGGUUGUAAACCUCUUUCAGCACGGAAGAAGCGAGAGUGACGGUACGUGCAGAAGAAGCGCCGGCUAACUACGUG
rnacentral:rRNA from 1 species